rnacentral:rRNA from 1 species
CCUACGGGUGGCAGCAGUGAGGAAUAUUGGUCAAUGGGCGGAAGCCUGAACCAGCCAAGUAGCGUGCAGGAUGACGGCCCUACGGGUUGUAAACUGCUUUUAUACGGGAAUAACGCGCCUUACGUGUAGGGCUUUGCAUGUAACGUAUGAAUAAGGACCGGCUAAUUCCGUGCCAGCAGCCGCGGUAAUACGGAAGGUCCGGGCGUUAUCCGGAUUUAUUGGGGUUUAAGGGAGGGUAGGGCGCAUGCCCAGCGUGCUGGGAAAUGUGCGGGCUCAACCCGGGCCUUGCAGCGCGAACUGGCGUGCUUGAGUCCGCGGAAAGCAGGCGGAAUUCGUCGUGUAGCGGUGAAAUGCUUAGAUAUGACGAAGAACCCCGAUUGCGAAGGCAGCUUGCUGCAGCGGAACUGACGCUGAUGCUCGAAAGCGCGGGUAUCGAACAGGAUUAGAUACCCGGGUAGUC